UACGAAGGGGGCUAGCGUUGCUCGGAAUCACUGGGCGUAAAGGGUGCGUAGGCGGGUCUUUUAAGUCAGGGGUGAAAUCCUGGAGCUCAACUCCAGAACUGCCUUUGAUACUGGAGUGCUUGAGUCCGGGAGAGGUGAGUGGAACUGCGAGUGUAGAGGUGAAAUUCGUAGAUAUUCGCAAGAACACCAGUGGCGAAGGCGGCUCACUGGCCCGGUACUGACGCUGAGGUGCGAAAGCGUGGGGAGCAAACAGG
rnacentral:rRNA from 1 species